UAUAUUGCGCAAUGGACGGAAGUCUGACUCAUCGACGCCGUGUGAGCGAUGACGGUCUUUGGAGCGUAAAGCUCUGUUCGUGGGGAAGUAGGGCUGCCGCCUUUACGGUCCCCAAGUAUCAAGCCCCAGCUUACUACUUGCCAGAAGCCGCGGUAAUACGUAGGGGGCGAGCGUUCUACGGAAUUAAAGGGCGUAAAGGGUGCGUAGGCGGCCCUUUAAGUCAGAUGUGAAAGGACACGGCUUAACCGUAGAACUGCAGUUGAAACUGGAGGGGUUGAGUGUCGGAGAGGGUAGUGGAAAUCCCAGUGUAGCGGUGAAAUGCGUAGAUAUUGGGAGGAAAACCAGUGGCGAAGGCGACUACCUGGACGAUAACUGACGCUGAGGCACGAAAGCUAGGGGAGCAAAC
rnacentral:rRNA from 1 species